rnacentral:rRNA from 1 species
GAUGAACGUUAGCGGGAGGCUUAAUACAUGCAAGUCGAGCGGUAAGUUUUUAUAGCAAUAUGAAGACCUAGAGCGGCGCACGGGUGAGUAACGCGUACACGACCUGGCCUAAACUGGGGGAUAGCCUUGGGAAACUGAGAGUAAUCCCGCAUGUGAUUAUGUUACUGAUGGUGAUAUAAUUAAAGCUUCGGCGGUUUAGGAUGGGUGUGCGUCUGAUUAGCUAGUUGGUAGUGUAACGGACUACCAAGGCGAUGAUCAGUAGGGGGCGUGAGAGCGUGACCCCCCACCACGGGUACGUGAGACACGGACCCGACU